CACGGGGGGAGCAAGCGUUGUUCGGAUUUACUGGGCGUAAAGGGCGCGUAGGCGGCCUCUGCAAGUCGACUGUGAAAUCUCCGGGCUUAACCCGGAACGGUCAGCCGAUACUGCAGGGCUAGAGUGCAGAAGGGGCAACUGGAAUUCUCGGUGUAGCGGUGAAAUGCGUAGAUAUCGAGAGGAACACCGAUGGCGAAGGCAGCCCCCUGGGCCAAUACUGACGCUGAGGAGCGAAAGCAUGGGUAGCGAACAGG
rnacentral:rRNA from 1 species